UUCCCCAAUUCUUUCUAAAUUCAUUUGGACCACUUUAAAAUCAUUUUCACCCUUUUCUCCCAAAAUGAAAGUUGUUUCAAAAUAAAAACCCUACAACUUUGUUUUAAUAAGUAACAUCAAAUUCCAAAUAGAAUUUGAAUUACAAAUUAAAACUAGUUCUAGGUUUUCAAAUAAAUUCAUUUUGGGGAAUUUUGUAUAAAUUCCAUUUCUCAAAUUCUAUGGCUCCAAAAAUUGUACAAAAACAUUCUUAAAUCUUCUUGCAU
rnacentral:lncRNA from 1 species